rnacentral:rRNA from 1 species
UGGUUAUCGGGCGGCUAUAAUGCAGUCGAACGGCAGCACAAUGUAGCAAUACAUGGGUGGCGAGUGGCGCACGGGUGCGUAACACGUAUGCAAUUUGCCCAUAACUGGGGGAUAGCCCUCCGAAAGGAGGAUUAAUACCCCAUAACCCAGCGAGGUGGCAUCACCUUUCUGGUAAAUCUCCGGAGGUUAUGGAUGAGCAUGCGUCCGAUUAGCUAGUUGGUGAGGUAACGGCUCACCAAGGCAACGAUCGGUAGGGGGUCUGAGAGGAUGAUCCCCCACACGGGUACUGAGACACGGACCCGACUCCUACGGGAGGCAGCAGUAAGGAAUAUUGGACAAUGGAGGCAACUCUGAUCCGGCCAUGCCGCGUGAAGGAUGAAGGCCCUACGGGUUGUAAACUUCUUUUCUCUUAGAAAAAACUACUGGUUUCGUACCGGUACUGAUUGUACAAGAGGAAUAAGCAUCGGCUAACUUCGUGCCAGCAGCCGCGGUAAUACGGAGGAUGCAAGCGUUAUCCGGAUUCACUGGGUUUAGAGGGUGUGCAGGUGGGGUAAUAAGUCAGUGGUGAAAGCCCCCGACUCAAUCGGGGAACUGCCAUAGAUACUGUUAUUCUUGAGUGUGGUUGAGGUGGAUGGAAUAUGACAUGUAGCGGUGAAAUGCUUAGAUAUGUCAUAGAACACCGAUCGCGAAGGCAGUCCGCCAAACCAUUACUGACACUGAAACACGAAAGUGCGGGGAUCAAACAGGAUUAGAUACCCUGGUAGUCCGCACCGUAAACGAUGAUCACUCGUUGUUGGCGAUAUACAGUCAGCGACUAAGCGAAAGCAUUAAGUGAUCCACCUGGGAAGUACGACCGCAAGGUUGAAACUCAAAGGAAUUGACGG